ACUCCUACGGGAGGCAGCAGUGGGGAAUAUUGCACAAUGGGGGAAACCCUGAUGCAGCCAUGCCGCGUGUGUGAAGAAGGCCUUCGGGUUGUAAAGCACUUUCAGUAGGGAGGAAGGUAGUGUAGUUAACACCUGCACUAUUUGACGUUACCUACAGAAGAAGCACCGGCUAACUCCGUGCCAGCAGCCGCGGUAAUACGGAGGGUGCGAGCGUUAAUCGGAAUUACUGGGCGUAAAGCGCAUGCAGGCGGCCUGUUAAGUCAGAUGUGAAAGCCCGGGGCUUAACCUCGGAAUUGCAUUUGAAACUGGCAGGCUAGAGUCUUGUAGAGGGGGGUAGAAUUUCAGGUGUAGCGGUGAAAUGCGUAGAGAUCUGAAGGAAUACCAGUGGCGAAGGCGGCCCCCUGGACAAAGACUGACGCUCAGAUGCGAAAGCGUGGGGAGCGAAACAGGAUUAGAUACCCUGGUAGGAUAGCG
rnacentral:rRNA from 1 species